rnacentral:rRNA from 1 species
UACGUAGGGGGCGAGCGUUGUCCGGAGUUACUGGGCGUAAAGGGCGUGCAGGCGGUGCGGUAAGUUUAGCGUGACAGUCUCCGGCUUAACUGGAGAAGGCCGCUGAAAACUGCUGGACUUGAGGGCCAGAGAGGGACAUAGAAUUCCGGGUGGAGUGGUGAAAUGCGUAGAUAUCCGGAGGAAUACCAAAGGCGAAGGCAGUGUCCUGGCUGGCAACUGACGCUGGAGGCGCGAAAGCUAGGGGAGCGAACAGG